rnacentral:snRNA from 1 species
GUGCUCGCUUCAGCAGCACAUAUACUAAAAUUGGAAUGAUAGAGAUUAGCAUGUCCCUGCACAAGAUGACAUGCAAAUUCGUGAAGCAUUCAUGUUAAAA